GGCUCGUUGGUCUAGGGGUAUGAUUCUUGCUUCGGGUGCAAGAGGUCCCGGGUUCAAAUCCCGGACGAGCCC